ACCUUUUUCAAAAACAAUUGAUAGAUGUAAAAAUGAAAGAAGAAAAAAAAACUGUGAAAGAAGAAAAAGGAAACUUGAAAUCACCUUUUUGGUGUUUUUGUAUUCUGAUUGCGUAAAAAGUAAGUGUUAUAGCCUAUUCUUGGUCUUUUAUAGUCUCUAUUUACAAAAAAUAAAAUGAAAAAAAAUCAAAGCAAAUCACCCCCAUUCUGUCCCUUUUCAUUU
rnacentral:lncRNA from 1 species